GUCCUAUGGUGAUGGAAGAGUAGUGACAUGUGCAGACUUAACCAGCUGCAAGUGCACAGUAAUUACAUCUGUCAUCUGUCACCUACGCUUCAAGCCAUACAGAUCUGAAACAGGAACUGAAUAGUCAUCUCAGAAAUUAUGAAUGGAAAGUCAGAAAUGCUAUUGAUGACAGAGCACAAGGAGAAGGCAAUCAUUUGUUAAGUUGGAGCAAUGACCAAGAGGAAUGCAAGGUGCUAUUUCUGUCUUAAUAAGUCAUGUUGUGGUCUGAAGAUUAUGACAAAAAUGAGUGAACGACGCCAUCGUCAAAUGAAGAAUCCUCCAGCCAAAGAAAUGAGAACAUAUGCGAUCGUUCGACAUGUUAGACAUAGUAGCUAAAUUUCCCUCAAACACAGAAUGUAUUCCAGCGAUUACAUUAACGAUGUGUCUUUUUUGUUUUAUUUUUAAGAGUAAGUCGUAAGAAAGGAAGGAAGGGUACAUACAAUAAUGUAGUCUGAAGUAUUAUAUACCUCGGUAAAGAAAAGGUAAAAAUUGACCUAAUGGUCAUUAUUGAAUGUCUUUGAUUACAGGUCAAUUCGAUGACAUGAAGCUUAAUAACAAAAAAAAAAACUGAACAGCGAGACAACGAGGUAAGUUUCUGGGCCAGUGGGUCUCAAUUAGGAGGAAUAGUAUUCCCACGGGUAAACAUUUACAUGGCAAGGGGUAAAUAUAUCAUACCUGAAAAUUAAGUAUUAAUUCUGUUAAAACCUUAACAAUAAAGUUGUUCCGUCUUCGUUUUCCUAUGUCUUUAUGCCGGCUGCGCAUUUUUUUUUUAUAUACAUUAAAGAAAGGAGGUAAAUGGCGAAAUACAUUAAGCUAAGGGUGAAUGACAGAGGAAGGGGUUGAGAAUCACUAAUUUACCUGUCACUCAACGUGCUAGAAAUAACAGCUGAAUCCCCUUCCCGAAUGAAUCUGAUUAAAGGGAAGGACACGUAAAUAACGCAGUCCUAGAUGCACUCAUUGUAAGCGAUAUAGUCACGGUUGGAACGUCUUUGAUUAUAAAUCUGCUAAAUCAAGGCCGACCUGCGGUUAAACUGUUAUUGUUAAUAUUUAACAAUAACUUUCGUUUUCCGCUUAAUUUUUUUUUCUGACAGGUUUUGUCUAGUUUUCACAUUAACCGAAAUAUAGUUAAAUGUCGAAGUAGCAUUCUAAUGUUUUACUCUUAAUUAUUAAAUGCAUUAUUCAUUUUUCUGCUUUUCCAUUUUUUUUAGUAAGGAAGGAAAAAAAUUGCCCUUGAUUAAUAAUAAGAAUUCGUUAUUGAACCUUAAAAGACGAUAGCUUAAUUGAAAAUUAACUCAAUUAUAUCUCAAUUAAAAAAAAAAAAGGCCUAGUAGAGUCGUCUACAAACUAUAUAUUCAAAUUAUAAGCUAUCGUUCUUAAAAUUUUACAAACUCUUAUAUUAACUUUAUAUUUUCAUCAUAACUUUAGCUCAAUUAUGAAAGUAGCUUUCGUACUGCCGUAGGUGUAGUAGUUAUUUAGUGAGAGGGUUUUAAACUAUUUCAUUCGCACGCAUAAGACCUUAGCAUAUCCAAUGAGUCAUUUAUGCGCGCGAACGCUGUCCACUUAUCUACUCGGUUGAUGAAUAAUCAGAACAGAAAGGACAUUGAGUACUGAGUUGUUUCUACAUUCUUAAAUUGUAUUUAUCUGUGUUCCAUACAUCUUCAAAAAAUAUUUGGUAAAAAUAUCAAUAAUAAAGAUAUUGUUUAAUUAAAACUGAGGUUUAAUUCCCCCCCCCCUUCUUUUUCUCAGCCACAAAAUUUCCUCUGGUUAAUUUGACCCCCAUUUACUUUUUUUUUUUUUCCGUAUCGAAUAUUUCCAUCGAACAUAGGCUACUACUGUCCAAACACAUGCAAAGAGAUGCUACGUCUGUCAUUUAGUAGGAACAGCGGUUUUGCACUCAGUAUCCUAGCACCUCCCUUCCACGAAUACAAAUCGAACGAUGACAAGUACCAUGGAUGAAUAUGCUGGCUUCUGUUCUAGAGCCUCAUUUACUUAUAUGUAUAUUAAUUAUAAUUAAAUAUUUUAGAUCCUUUAUAAGUUUUCUAAUUUUGUAUAAAAUCUAUAGGGAUAAUUAAAUUCGGUAAUUAUAUGUUUAUUCCAACGACAUAAACUGAUGAAAAGAAUAUCUAACGUAGUAUGCUUUCAUGUAGUCGCUCGACUUCGUAGCAAUCAUUUUCUUCAACUCAAUCCCUUCCGCAUGGAAAAAGGGACCAGUUACAUUACGGAAGUGAAAUAUUUAACUGCAUAGCAAGAAAGAAGAAAGGAUAGCCACAUAAAAUAUCGGUCGAACGAUAGAAAAUUCGACACCACCCACAUAUAUCAACAUGUAUUACAAAGACAGGACGAUUAAGGUUGGAACGUAUUUAAUCAUAGUUUUGUUCAGUCAGAGCUGACUUGAGGUUAAACAACAACAUUUGUAGUCUUUAAUAAAACGAAGACAGUAUAUCCAGAGUUCUGGAUCUGUACGAUUACCCCAGACGAUCGACCAACUAUCUACAAAUGAUAGUUCUACAUAAGCAGGACAAACCGCGUAGGGGGAGGGUUAACAACAGCUAAGGAAAAUCAAUUGCUGGAUGAGUUAUUCGAGGCGUGGUUAUUGGUAGGCGAAAACGAUGCUUAAUAGACUCGAAAGUACUUCUUUGAUAAAGAUUUUCUGAUUAAAAUUAAAAGAAUAAAUCAAAUUAAUGCUAAGUAGUUUUUUAAAUUUUGUAUUUAUCCUUGGGCUUAAAGUUAUGCCAUUCAUACACAGGUUAGAAUUAGUUGCAGAAUUUUACUCUCCAUCUCCAUCACUCAUAGAAUCGGCAUCAAUGUAUGGUGGAGUGAGGUGUCGGUGUGAAAAGUCUCAAUUCUGGGGCAACUUCAUGGAAUGUCAUGAACGAAAUGCAGGUCACUUCGAUAUGCUUACUAAGGUAAAUUUAACUUUGAAGUGGACCCUUGAAAAAAAAAAAAUCCCUUCAGUUCUGAAGCCUGUGGGAUUAUCCAGGGAUGAUGAAAAAAAAAAGCCUGCUAGGCUAGAGAUAGAUGCUUUAUAUGGGAUGCUACAAUGAGUGAUUCUUUCAUUCACAUAUUCUAAAUGCUGAGAUGCUUUUUAGAUUUUAUAUCAUCUUCAUCUAUAAUCCACAUCUAUUCAAAUACUAAAUAUUUGACCGAACUAUCGAUAAUAAAAACAGUAUGUAAGACUUGA